rnacentral:rRNA from 1 species
ACGGAGGGUGCAAGCGUUAAUCGGAAUUACUGGGCGUAAAGCGCACGCAGGCGGUUUGUUAAGUCAGAUGUGAAAUCCCCGGGCUCAACCUGGGAACUGCAUCUGAUACUGGCAAGCUUGAGUCUCGUAGAGGGGGGUAGAAUUCCAGGUGUAGCGGUGAAAUGCGGAGAGAUCUGGAGGAAUACCGGUGGCGAAGGCGGCCCACAGGACGAAGACUGACGCUCACGUGCGAGACCGUGGCUACCAUAAAG